AUCAGAAGUGCGAAUGCUGACAUAAGUAACGAUAAAGCGGGUGAAAAGCCCGCUCGCCGGAAGACCAAGGGUUCCUGUCCAACGUUAAUCGGGGCAGGGUGAGUCGACCCCUAAGGCGAGGCCGAAAGGCGUAGUCGAUGGGAAACAGGUUAAUAUUCCUGUACUUGGUGUUACUGCGAAGGGGGGACGGAGAAGGCUAUGUUAGCCGGGCGACGGUUGUC
rnacentral:rRNA from 1 species